GAUGAACGCUGGCGGCGUGCCUAAUACAUGCAAGUCGAGCGAACGGGCGAGAAGCUUGCUUCUCUGAUGUUAGCGGCGGACGGGUGAGUAACACGUGGAUAACCUACCUAUAAGACUGGGAUAACUUCGGGAAACCGGAGCUAAUACCGGAUGAUAUUUUGAACCGCAUGGUUCAAAAAUGAAAGACGGUCUUGCUGUCACUUAUAGAUGGAUCCGCGCUGCAUUAGCUAGUUGGUAAGGUAACGGCUUACCAAGGCAACGAUGCAUAGCCGACCGGAGAGGGUGAUCGGCCACCCUGGAACUGAGACACGGUCCAGACUCCUCCGGGAGGCAGCAGUAGGGAAUCUUCCGCAAUGGGCGAAAGCCUGACGGAGCAACGCCGCGUGAGUGAUGAAGGUCUUCGGAUCGUAAAACUCUGUUAUUAGGGAAGAACAUAUGUGUAAGUAACUGUGCACAUCGUGACGGUACCUAAUCAGAAAGCCACGGCUAACUACGUG
rnacentral:rRNA from 1 species